rnacentral:misc_RNA from 1 species
GAAAUGCGAUAAGUAAUGUGAAUUGCAGAAUUCAGUGAAUCAUCGAAUCUUUGAACACACCUUGCGCUCCUUGGUAUUCCUUGGAGCAUGCCUGUUUGAGUAUCAUGAAAUCUUCAAAGUAAAUCUUUUGUUAAUUCAAUUGGUUUCUACUUUGGUAUUGGAGGUCUUUGCAGCUUCACACCUGCUCCUCUUUGUUCAUUAGCUGGAUCUCAGUGUUAUGCUUGGUUCCACUCGGCGUGAUAAGUUAUCUAUCGCUGAGGACACUGUAAAAGGUGGCCAAGGUAAAUGCAGAUGAACCGCUUCUAAUAGUCCAUUGACUUGGACAAUACUUUUAUGAUCUGAUCUCCAAUCAGGUAGGACUACCCGCUGAACUUAAGC